rnacentral:rRNA from 1 species
UACGUAGGGACCAAGCGUUGUUCGGAUUUACUGGGCGUAAAGGGCGCGUAGGCGGUAAUUCAAGUCAUCUGUGAAAUCUCCGAGCUUAACUCGGAACGGUCAGAUGAUACUGUUUUGCUAGAGUACAGAAGGGGCAAUCGGAAUUCUUGGUGUAGCGGUGAAAUGCGUAGAUAUCAAGAGGAACACCUGAGGUGAAGACGGGUUGCUGGGCUGAUACUGACGCUGAGGCGCGAAAGCUAGGGUAGCAAACGGG